CUACGGGAGGCAGCAGUGGGGAAUAUUGCACAAUGGGCGCAAGCCUGAUGCAGCAAUGCCGCGUGUGUGAAGAAGGCCUGCGGGUUGUAAAGCACUUUUAUUAGGAAAGAAAAACCCGGAGCUAAUACCUCCGGCAUUGACGGUACCUAAAGAAUAAGCACCGGCUAACUCAGUGCCAGCAGCCGCGGUAAUACUGAGGGUGCAAGCGUUAAUCGGAAUUACUGGGCGUAAAGCGAGUGUAGGCGGUUACUUAAGUCGGAUGUGAAAGCCCCGGGCUCAACCUGGGAAUUGCAUUCGAUACUGGGUAGCUAGAGUUUGGUAGAGGUAAGUGGAAUUCCGGGUGUAGCGGUGAAAUGCGUAGAUAUCCGGAGGAACAUCAGUGGCGAAGGCGGCUUACUGGACCAAAACUGACGCUGAGGCUCGAAAGCGUGGGGAGCAAACAGGAUUAGAUACCCUGGUAGUCCACGCCCUAAACGAUGUCAACUAGACGUUGGGUUCAUUAAUGAACUUAGUGUCGCAGCUAACGCGUUAAGUUGACCGCCUGGGGAGUACGGCCGCAAGGUUGAAACUCAAAUGAAUUGACGG
rnacentral:rRNA from 1 species